rnacentral:rRNA from 1 species
UUAAGCGACUAAGCGUACACGGUGGAUGCCCUGGCAGUCAGAGGCGAUGAAGGACGUGCUAAUCUGCGAAAAGCGUCGGUAAGGUGAUAUGAACCGUUAUAACCGGCGAUGUCCGAAUGGGGAAACCCAGUGCAAUUCGUUGCACUAUCGUUAACUGAAUACAUAGGUUAACGAGGCGAACCGGGGGAACUGAAACAUCUAAGUACCCCGAGGAAAAGAAAUCAACCGAGAUUCCCCCAGUAGCGGCGAGCGAACGGGGAGCAGCCCAGAGUCUGAAUCAGCUUGUGUGUUAGUGGAACGGUCUGGAAAGUCCGACGGUACAGGGUGAUAGUCCCGUACACCAAAAUGCACAGGCUGUGAACUCGAAGAGUAGGGCGGGACACGUGGUAUCCUGUCUGAAUAUGGGGGGACCAUCCUCCAAGGCUAAAUACUCCUGACUGACCGAUAGUGAACCAGUACCGUGAGGGAAAGGCGAAAAGAACCCCGGCGAGGGGAGUGAAAAAGAACCUGAAACCGUGUACGUACAAGCAGUGGGAGCACCUUCGGGUGUGACUGCGUACCUUUUGUAUAAUGGGUCAGCGACUUAUAUUCUGUAGCAAGGUUAACCGUAUAGGGGAGCCGCAGGGAAACCGAGUCUUAACUGGGCGUUAAGUUGCAGGGUAUAGACCCGAAACCCGGUGAUCUAGCCAUGGGCAGGUUGAAGGUUGGGUAACACUAACUGGAGGACCGAACCGACUAAUGUUGAAAAAUUAGCGGAUGACUUGUGGCUGGGGGUGAAAGGCCAAUCAAACCGGGAGAUAGCUGGUUCUCCCCGAAAGCUAUUUAGGUAGCGCCUCGUGAAUUCAUCUUCGGGGGUAGAGCACUGUUUCGGCUAGGGGGUCAUCCCGACUUACCAACCCGAUGCAAACUACGAAUACCGAAGAAUGUUAUCACGGGAGACACACGGCGGGUGCUAACGUCCGUCGUGAAGAGGGAAACAACCCAGACCGCCAGCUAAGGUCCCAAAGUCAUGGUUAAGUGGGAAACGAUGUGGGAAGGCACAGACAGCCAGGAUGUUGGCUUAGAAGCAGCCAUCAUUUAAAGAAAGCGUAAUAGCUCACUGGUCGAGUCGGCCUGCGCGGAAGAUGUAACGGGGCUAAACCAUGCACCGAAGCUGCGGCAGCGACACUAUGUGUUGUUGGGUAGGGGAGCGUUCUGUAAGCCUGCGAAGGUGUGCUGUGAGGCAUGCUGGAGGUAUCAGAAGUGCGAAUGCUGACAUAAGUAACGAUAAAGCGGGUGAAAAGCCCGCUCGCCGGAAGACCAAGGGUUCCUGUCCAACGUUAAUCGGGGCAGGGUGAGUCGACCCCUAAGGCGAGGCCGAAAGGCGUAGUCGAUGGGAAACAGGUUAAUAUUCCUGUACUUGGUGUUACUGCGAAGGGGGGACGGAGAAGGCUAUGUUAGCCGGGCGACGGUUGUCCCGGUUUAAGCAUGUAGGCUGGUUGUCCAGGCAAAUCCGGAUAAUCAAGGCUGAGGUGUGAUGACGAGGCACUACGGUGCUGAAGUAACAAAUGCCCUGCUUCCAGGAAAAGCCUCUAAGCAUCAGGUAACAUCAAAUCGUACCCCAAACCGACACAGGUGGUCAGGUAGAGAAUACCAAGGCGCUUGAGAGAACUCGGGUGAAGGAACUAGGCAAAAUGGUGCCGUAACUUCGGGAGAAGGCACGCUGGUGUGUAGGUGAAGUCCCUGCGGAUGGAGCUGAGACCAGUCGAAGAUACCAGCUGGCUGCAACUGUUUAUUAAAAACACAGCACUGUGCAAACACGAAAGUGGACGUAUACGGUGUGACGCCUGCCCGGUGCCGGAAGGUUAAUUGAUGGGGUUAUCCGUAAGGAGAAGCUCUUGAUCGAAGCCCCGGUAAACGGCGGCCGUAACUAUAACGGUCCUAAGGUAGCGAAAUUCCUUGUCGGGUAAGUUCCGACCUGCACGAAUGGCGUAAUGAUGGCCAGGCUGUCUCCACCCGAGACUCAGUGAAAUUGAACUCGCUGUGAAGAUGCAGUGUACCCGCGGCAAGACGGAAAGACCCCGUGAACCUUUACUAUAGCUUGACACUGAACAUUGAGCCUUGAUGUGUAGGAUAGGUGGGAGGCUUUGAAGCGUGGACGCCAGUCUGCGUGGAGCCAACCUUGAAAUACCACCCUUUAAUGUUUGAUGUUCUAACGUUGGCCCCUGACCGGGGUUGCGGACAGUGUCUGGUGGGUAGUUUGACUGGGGCGGUCUCCUCCCAAAGCGUAACGGAGGAGCACGAAGGUUAGCUAAUCCUGGUCGGACAUCAGGAGGUUAGUGCAAUGGCAUAAGCUAGCUUGACUGCGAGCGUGACGGCGCGAGCAGGUGCGAAAGCAGGUCAUAGUGAUCCGGUGGUUCUGAAUGGAAGGGCCAUCGCUCAACGGAUAAAAGGUACUCCGGGGAUAACAGGCUGAUACCGCCCAAGAGUUCAUAUCGACGGCGGUGUUUGGCACCUCGAUGUCGGCUCAUCACAUCCUGGGGCUGAAGUAGGUCCCAAGGGUAUGGCUGUUCGCCAUUUAAAGUGGUACGCGAGCUGGGUUUAGAACGUCGUGAGACAGUUCGGUCCCUAUCUGCCGUGGGCGCUGGAGAAUUGAGGGGGGCUGCUCCUAGUACGAGAGGACCGGAGUGGACGCAUCACUGGUGUUCGGGUUGUCAUGCCAAUGGCACUGCCCGGUAGCUAAAUGCGGAAGAGAUAAGUGCUGAAAGCAUCUAAGCACGAAACUUGCCCCGAGAUGAGUUCUCCCUGAG